rnacentral:misc_RNA from 1 species
GAAGGCCCUAUCCCGCCCUUCGCCUACCUCCAUGGAGGCUUGGAAAGCAUCUCUGCUGCUUGCAAGUGGCAAUUAACUGUGUCUCGCACACAAAACCAAAUCGCCAGUCCCAAAUACAGCUCAGGCAGCCCGCAUAACUACACACAGGACAAACCAGGUGCUUCUUGCCUUUUAGUUUCUGUGGUAGUAUGGACAGGAACAAGCGAAAAUUUUUUAGGAAACUCCAAAACAAUCAAUUCAAGCGGAAAGGAGUCCAUAGAAGAGGAAAAUGGAAUAAUUUUAGCAGUGAAGAAUCUUUAGGGAAUUCACUUCCUGUUGAUACUGUUUAUCGCAUACUCUGCCCUUCAAGAAAAAUUGGGGGUGUUAUUGGAAAGGGUGGAAGUAUAGUUAAAGCCCUAAGGGAAGAGACCCAGGCCAAGAUCACGGUUGCUGAUUCAGUUUCUGGUUCAGAUGAAAGAGUAAUUAUUAUUUAUAGUUCUCCUGAAAAGAUUUCAAGGAAUCAGAAUAAUGAUGAGGAUUCAACCGUAGAGAAUGAACAGGAUACUAUGGAGCCUCUUUGUGCCGCUCAGGAUGCUCUAUUGAAAGUUCAUGAAAGGAUUGUUGAGGAAGAUCUUAUUGGCGGAAUGACAUCUGAUGAUGAUAAUGAAAGCAGUAUUGUUACAGCUAGGCUUUUAGUUCCCAACAAUAUGGUCGGAUGUCUUUUGGGCAAACGUGGAGAUGUCAUCCAGAGAUUGCGAAGUGAGACAGGUGCAAGCAUUCGUGUUCUUCCUGCAGAUCAUCUUCCCAUUUGUGCUAUGAGCACUGAUGAAUUGGUUCAGCAUGGUGGAAUGCAUGUCCUCUUGAUAAGGCAGGUCUUCUCCGGCUGUUUGCUUGCUUCUUGUGAGCGGCUGAAAUAGGUGCUGGCCUCGCAUUUAAGUGACAAAGACGUGACAACCAGUUUUCCAUCUGAGCUGGCAUGAUCUGUUUGACUGAUAUACUAUGUAUUGGAUCGAAGUUUCUGGGCUCAAGUUUGAGAGAUAUGUGCCCAAAUGUGAAUGCACCUGGAAGAUCCAAGCUUACUGUGAUUAAGGUGGUGGAUGCUAAGGAUGGGACCAGGCACACAGAAUAGAUAUCUGCAAAACCUGAUGUGGCAAAGAGGGCUCUGUAUGAAGUAUCCACUCUAUUGCAUCAAAAUCCCCGAAAAGACAAACCUCCAAGUUUGCCAAUGUCUUAUAGUGGCCAAAAUUUUCAUUCUUCUGGUGGUCCUAUGACAAAAAUGCUUCCACCGGGAAAUCCAAUGUGGCCUCAUCAGAACUCUUUUUCCAAAACUUUGCCUCUCAUGCCAUGGAUGGGGGGAUAUGGCAGUCAGCCCACAGGAUUCGGGCCAGAUCGCUUUAAUGGUGCUCCUCGAGGACAUGGUGGGGAACAUUCAGCUGAGUUUUCUAUGAAAAUUUUAUGCUCUGCAGGGAAAAUUGGUGGGGUAAUUGGCAAGGGAGGGUCUAAUGUAAAACUGAUACAGCGGGAGACAGGUACUAGCAUUCACGUUGAGGAUGCUUCUGCAGAGUCAGAUGAACGUGUGAUUCGGGUCUCUGCUUUUGAGGCUCUGUGGAACCCAAGAUCACAAACAAUUGAUGCAAUUAUUCAGCUUCAGAAUAAAACAAGCGAAUACUCUGAGAAAAGUACAAUAAUUACAAGAUUUCUAGUUCCUUCGAGUAAGAUUGGCUGUAUCCUUGGACAAGGAAGUCAAGUUAUCAAUGAAAUGAGAGGCAGAACCCGGGCAGAUAUUCGUGUUUACUCCAAGGAUGAUAAGCCUAAGUGUGCAUCUGAAGAUGAAGAGCUUGUACAGAUAUCUGGGAAUUUUGCUGCUGCCAAAGAUGCUUUGGUAGAGAUUGCAUCAAGACUAAGAGCAAGAACAUUGCGAGAUGCAAAUGCUGGAGUGGAACCUGCACCUGUUGGACCUGUCAGGGAUUUGGGCCUGCACGAAGCUUGCCAGGCAGAGGUCCCCCACCUUCUGGUAUAAUGGGAGCUAGUAGUUCUUCUGGAUAUGAGCCUCUCAGGGUAAAUUUUUCCCCUCUCAUUUUACCCAAUCUCUGGUAAAGUGCUUGUUAUUCCAUUGCUAUGCAAUUACUUGCUUAGUGUUAGUGAAAAACUUGGCUAGCAUAAUAGAGCAUGGUUUUGUAGUUGUACUGUACUAUUUUUGUAGUUAUCUUAUAGUUUUAGAUAAAAUUUUGUGAUUCUACUGCAAAGGUGCGUUUUGACCUUGACAAUCACUCUUUAUGCUUUUAUGAAGGAUGGUGGACAUGAGUAUGGACCUCAGAAUUAUCCAGUUCCUCCAGCUGCUAUUGUGUACUGUUGCUAGUUUGACUUUUUUAAAGACCUUCUGUUUGAAUACUAUGACCAAGUUCUUUAAUGUCUUCGAUUUCAGAUAUUGUAAAGUGAACAGUGCUAUGGAGGCUAAUAUUUCAAAUAAUGGAGUCAAUUCUGUUUUAGGGGCCAGGGAGAUUUCAAGUGUUGGUGAGGGUGCUGGAACAAGCAUAAAGCUCCUAGAUCCUCUGACUGGUGGCCCUGAAAACAUUGUUGAAUUCCGUGGAUCCUCUGAGCAACCGAAUGCUACACAUAGUUUUCUUCAAACCUUUGUGUCUUCUUCUGGACAGGACAUGAAUGCCCAGCAAGGUUCCCACCAAUGCAUGACUGCGCAGCAAAGCUCCUACCAGAAUGUGAGUGCUCAGCAGAGCAUCUAUCAAAACAUGAAUACUCAGCAUGGCCCCUUUCAGAACAUGAAUGCGCAGCAAAGCCCUUGUUUGCUUACUGCUCAGCAAGGUGUCUACACCAACACCAAUGCUCCACAGACUAACUACCAGAACAUUAGUGCACAGCAGAGCGCUUAUCAGUACUGACUGCAAUUUCUGAAUUUUUGCACCAUAGUUUGCUGUCAGGUUCUUAAUAACAACCUGUUGAACAGCCUAGAGGUCAUUUAAGCUUUUGCAUUGUCUUAGGCAUUUUCAGGCGGUGAAGGAAAACAUUUGGCUGUGCUGUGCUUGUGCAAAUCAUAAACAAUCUUUUCAGAGUAGAGGGAAUAUACAUGAUUUUCUAAUACUAGAUCUGCGGUGACAAUUCAAAUGUUAUUCUUGCUUUUCAUGACUGAAUCACAAAUGUCUGUUUAGGAAUUAGAAUCUGUUGGAGUUGUAAUUAUUAGUUUGAUCUUUCUUUCUGCAUUGAAAGAUUUGGAGUCAUACAGUUUGCUUAGCUAGGUACAAGUUUCCUGGAUCUAUUUCGUUUUCGAUGACAUAUUUGUUCUAGAGAGAUAAGAUCAUGUGUUUGUCCUUAUUUUUGUUAUUGU